rnacentral:rRNA from 1 species
GAUGAACGCUGGCGGCGUGCUUAACACAUGCAAGUCGAACGGACUUUACUUGAAGCCUAGCGAUAGUAAAGUUAGUGGCGGACGGGUGAGUAACGCGUGGGUAACCUGCCGUAUGCUGGGGGACAACAGUUGGAAACGACUGCUAAUACCGCAUAAGCGCACAGUACCGCAUGGUACGGUGUGAAAAACUCCGGUGGCAUACGAUGGACCCGCGUCUGAUUAGCUAGUUGGUGAGGUAACGGCCCACCAAGGCGACGAUCAGUAGCCGGCCUGAGAGGGUGAACGGCCACAUUGGGACUGAGACACGGCCCAAACUCCUACGGGAGGCAGCAGUGGGGAAUAUUGCACAAUGGGGGAAACCCUGAUGCAGCGACGCCGCGUGAGUGAAGAAGUAUUUCGGUAUGUAAAGCUCUAUCAGCAGGGAAGAAAAUGACGGUACCUGACUAAGAAGCCCCGGCUAACUACGUG